rnacentral:rRNA from 1 species
GUAAAUAAUUAAGGGCGUAUGGUGGAUGCCUAGGCUCUCAGAGGCGAAGAAGGACGUGAUAAGCUGCGAAAAGCUCCGUUUAGGUGCAAAUAACCUUUGAUGCGGAGAUCUCCGAAUGGGAUAACCCAAUAUGUUGAAGACAUAUUAUACCGUAAGGUAGGCAAACGCAGGGAACUGAAACAUCUAAGUACCUGCAGGAGAAGAAAACAAAAGUGAUUCCCCCAGUAGCGGCGAGCGACCGGGGAUAAGCCCAAACCGUUAUUGUUUCGGCAGUAGCGGGGUAGUAGGACUGCGACAUUGAUGAAAUAAAUGAAAUGGAACACCUUGGAAAAUGUGAUCACAGAGGGUGAUAAUCCCGUACAUGCAAGUUUAUGAAUCAUAGCAGACUCCUGAGUAAGUCGGGACACGUGUAAUCCUGACCGAAUCCGCCGGGACCAUCCGGCAAGGCUAAAUACUCCUGAGAGACCGAUAGUGAACCAGUACCGUGAGGGAAAGGUGAAAAGCACUUCGAACAGAAGAGUGAAAUAGUCCCUGAACCCAUACGCCUACAAGCUGUCGGAGCCGCUUCGUGCGGUGACGGCGUGCCUUUUGCAUAAUGAGCCUACGAGUUACUCAUCACCAGCGAGGUUAAGUACUUCAGGUACGUAAGCCGAAGCGAAAGCGAGUCUGAAUAGGGCGUCAAGUUGGUGGUGGUAGACGCGAAACCUUAGUGAUCUACCCAUGGGCAGGGUGAAGGUUUGGUAACACAAACUGGAGGCCCGAACCGGUAAACGUUGAAAAGUUUUCGGAUGACCUGUGGGUAGGGGUGAAAGGCCAAUCAAACUGGGAAAUAGCUCGUACUCUCCGAAAUGCAUUUAGGUGCAGCCUCUGUUGUUUUGUUCUAGAGGUAGAGCUACUGAUUGGAUGCGAGGGCUUCACCGCCUAUCAAAUCCGGCCAAACUCCGAAUGCUAGAACAUGAAGACAGGGAGUGAGCCAGCGGGUGCUAAGGUCCGUUGACGAAAGAGGGAGAACUCAGACCAUCAGCUAAGGUCCCCAAUUAUAUGCUAAGUUGGAAUAAAAACGGGGUGGGACUGCUUAGACAGCUAGGAUGUUGGCUUGGAAGCAGCCAUUCAUUUAAAGAGUGCGUAACAGCUCACUAGUCGAGCGGUCCUGCAUGGAUAAUACGCGGGCAUAAGCAUAUAACCGAAGCUAUGGGAUUGUAGAUGAUACAAUCGGUAGGAGAGCAUUCCAUUCAGCAUAGAAGCAGUACCGUGAGGUAUUGUGGAGCGGAUGGAAAAGCAAAUGUAGGCAUAAGUAACGAUAAUGCGGGUGAGAACCCCGCACGCCGAAAGAUCAAGGAUUCCCCGGCAAUGUCAAUCAUCCGGGGGUAAGUCGGAUCCUAAGGGUAAGCCGAAUGGCGAUCCCGAUGGUAAACAGGUUAAUAUUCCUGUACUGAUCAUAACUGCGAUGCAGCGACGCAGAGGUGACACUGCUGCGUACUGACGGAAUAGUACGUUGAAACCCGUAUUCUUUGAUACCGGUAGUGAAGCACGCCGGUAGAGAUGAAAGGUGAUAGUACCGCAAUGCUUCGGUUGCGCGGAUAAUGCAGGUAAGCUGACUGCCAAGAAAACCUGCUAAGCUUCAGGUAAUGAUCAUCCGUACUGUAAACGGACACACGUGAUCAGGUAGAAAAUACUAAGGCGCUCGAGAGAUUCAUGGUUAAGGAACUAGGCAAAAUGGUCCUGUAACUUCGGGAUAAAGGACGCUCUUGUGAAAGAGCCGCAGAUAAUAGGCCCAGGCGACUGUUUACCAAAAACACAUGGCUAUGCUAAUUCGCAAGAAGAUGUAUAUGGCCUGACACCUGCCCGGUGCCGGAAGGUUAAGAGGAGAGCUCAGAGGUAACUCGAAGGUUUGAAUUGAAGCCCCGGUAAACGGCGGCCGUAACUAUAACGGUCCUAAGGUAGCGAAAUUCCUUGUCGGGUAAGUUCCG